rnacentral:rRNA from 1 species
GUCGAGGGGCAACGGGGAUGUUAGCUUGCUAAUAUCUGCCGGCGACCUUCGCACGGGUGAGUAACGCGUAUGCGACCUGCCCGUCACAGGGGGAUAAUCCGGAGAAAUCCGGUCUAAUACCGCAUAAUAUCGUGAAUCUGCAUGGAUUUGCGAUUAAAGGAGCGAUCCGGUGACGGAUGGGCAUGCGUGACAUCAGCUAGUCGGCGGGGUAACGGCCCACCGAGGCGACGAUGUCUAGGGGUUCUGAGAGGAAGGUCCCCCACACUGGUACUGAGACACGGACCAGACUCCUACGGGAGGCAGCAGUGAGGAAUAUUGGUCAAUGGGCUUACGCCUGAACCAGCCAAGUCGCGUGAGGGAAGACUGCCCUAUGGGUUGUAAACCUCUUUUGUCAGGGAGCAACGCCGGCUACGUGUAGCCGGACUGAGAGUACCUGAAGAAAAAGCAUCGGCUAACUCCGUGCCAGCAGCCGCGGUAAUACGGAGGAUGCGAGCGUUAUCCGGAUUUAUUGGGUUUAAAGGGUGCGUAGGCGGAAUGCCAAGUCAGCGGUAAAAUCGCGGGGCUCAACCUCGCUCCGCCGUUGAAACUGGCGUUCUUGAGUGGGCGAGAAGUAUGCGGAAUGCGU